rnacentral:rRNA from 1 species
GAUGAACGCUAGCGACAGGCCUAACACAUGCAAGUCGAGGGGCAGCACGAAGUAAGCUUGCUUACUUUGGUGGCGACCGGCGCACGGGUGCGUAACAGGUGUGCAAUCUGUCCAUAAUCGGGGAAUAGCCCAGCGAAAGUUGGAUUAAUGCUCCAUGUGAGUUUUAGAGGCAUCCCUUUAAUUUGAAACGUAAGGAUUAUGGGUGAGCACGCUUCUGAUUAGGUAGUUGGUGAGGUAACGGCUCACCAAGCCGACGAUCAGUAGGGGUUCUGAGAGGAAGGUCCCCCACAUUGGAACUGAGACACGGUCCAAACUCCUACGGGAGGCAGCAGUGAGGAAUAUUGGUCAAUGGGCGAAAGCCUGAACCAGCCAAGUCGCGUGAAGGAUGAAGGUUCUAUGGAUUGUAAACUUCUUUUGUCUGAGGGUAAAAAAGCGGACGUGUCCGUUCUUGCAAGUAUCAGACGAAUAAGCAUCGGCUAACUCCGUGCCAGCAGCCGCCGUAAAAC